rnacentral:rRNA from 1 species
CAGUCGCCGCGGUAAUACGAAGGGGGCUAGCGUUGUUCGGAUUUACUGGGCGUAAAGGGAGCGCAGGCGGUGCGGCAAGUCUGAUGUGAAAGCCCGGGGCUCAACCCCGGGACUGCAUUGGAAACUGUCGUACUUGGGUAUCGGAGAGGUAAGUGGAAUUCCUAGUGUAGCGGUGAAAUGCGUAGAGAUGUGGAGGAACACCGGUGGCGAAAGCGGCUCCCUGGCUUGUAACUGACGCUGAGGCUCGAAAGCGUGGGGAGCAAACAGGAUUAGAUACCCCCGUAGUCCCUGUCUCUUAUAC